rfam:Asian citrus Psyllid, Diaphorina citri - Florida Strain, whole genome shotgun sequence.
GCCAGGUGCUAUGAGAACGUUGAACACACCAGUUCUCAAUAGACCACUGAAGUUGAGCAACGUUGUGCAUGGUUGUUAAACGGAUGGGUGACCGUCUGGACAAUCGCGUGCUGCUGGUU